UUCUGAAUCUGUGAAUAUCUUUCCGAUUUUACUGAACUGUGGCUCCAAGGAGCCGUGCUGGGCAUCCUUUAUUUUCAUUUCUGAAAGGUGGCAACCCUAAUUGAGAGCCAGGUUGCUUUACCGGCGAAGGUACGACUUGGACACCGGGAUAGAUUUCAUUGUUGACCAACUGCAAGGCCCUGGAAAGGAUCACGGUUACCGGUGGAUGUUCACAAAGUGUAAACAACACGGUAUUUCUAUCAGAAAAGAAGACGUCAGGAUCCUCCUCUCUCUACUGGACCCCAUCAGUUCCCAAGUUCGUCAGACCAGACGUCUCAGAAGGAGGCAAUAUUUUGCUCAGGGACCCAACUUUGUGUGGCACAUUGACUCAUAUGACAAACUGAAGCCAUAUGGGAUAUGUAUUAAUGGCUGCAUCGACGGGUUUUCACGCAACAUCAUUUGGCUGCGGGCCGCCUUCACUAACAGCGACCCGAAAGUUAUCGGAGGGUACUUCAUGGAAGCAGUGGAGCGCUGUGGGGGCUGCCCAAGGCUCGUACGAACUGACAUGGGCACUGAGAAUGUGGUAUUUACGGAGAAAUGACGUGGAUGACAGAGCAAUGGAGAGAAGCUACGUCACAGGAGCAAGUACCGUGAACCAGAGAAUUGAGAGCUGGGGGUGAGUGAUGAGAAAAGAAGGAAUCGAACCCUGGAUCAUGCUGCUGGCAGAACUGAAGGAUGAGGGAUUCUUCGCUGGGGAUUUCAUUGACAAAGCUCUGUCACAGUUCUGUUUCAUGCCAAUCAUUCAGGAGGUAUUAAAUGACAUCUGGGGUGUUUGGAAUGCUCACGUAUAAGACCGUCUAAGAACACCAACGUGCCCAGUGGGAUACCUGAUGUCAUGUACAUGGUCCCUCACCUUUGGGGUGCAGAAGACUGUCUUGUUCCACUGACUGAUGAUUUAACCACAUGUAAAGACAGCUGCACGUUUGUCAGUUCAGUCCCAUGUGAUGUGGAUGUGUUUGAUUUGUGCACAAUAAUAAUGGAAGAAUCAAGCUUGGAGUUCCCAUCUACCAUGUCCCAGGCACUUGAUUUGUAUUUUCAUCUGAGGGACACAGUUCGUCCAGUUAUUUGAAGCUAUUUAAAUGGAC
ensembl:lncRNA